CCUUCGAUAGCUCAGUUGGUAGAGCGGUGGACUGUAGAACGGACUAUCAAUGCUGUAAUCCAUAGGUCGCUGGUUCAAAUCCGGCUCGAAGGA